CUGACCGUACCCACUCCAGUGAUACUCCAGUUCGAACACAGAGGUCUUUCAGGUCCAGCCAAUCAGACCAGACACCAAAACCAACAGAGUGACUGUCAAGUUUCCCGCUGGGGUUCCUUAGAUCCAGAAACAGGGAGGAUCGAGCCAACUCCCUAACAUCUUUAUCAUCAUUAUUCAGCAUGUUCAGAAGAUAUAAUAAAAGACGAAAAGGACGAAUGGCUGAAGAAAUGGGACAAAGAAAAAGGAGUGCGGCCAUCAAAGAUGAAGGGGGAAGCAGGGAGUGCAAGACAGCCGCUGAAACAAUAACACCAUUAGAAAAACCACAGCUGGAUGAGAUAUCCCAUCGCUUUUCAUCUGGAAGCACACAUGGCGAAUCAGCUGGUUGGUUUCAUUUUGACAAUUGUUUAACUGUUGUUUUUGUAAUAUGUUUUAUACUGUGUAAAAAAGUGCAAGGGUGGUUCCACAUUUGCUCUCUAGAAAUGGUGGGUUGAAUUUCCAAUUCAUUACACUGUAGAUCCAAAAAUAGGUAUAAUAUUAAAGACAAAAAAUUAUAAGAAACUAGAAUUCAAAAAUUCUAGGAUUUUUCUAGAAAGUAAUAUCCACAAAUUAAUUUACAAAUACACUGUAAAUCACUGUAAUCAAGUUGAUAGAAUCAUAAAAACAGAUUCACCCUUACCAAAAAGUAGUAUACUUCAAGUUUAUUUUAUUAAGUAUACUUCAGUAAAGUUCAAGUAUAUUUUUAAGUAUACUUUAUGUAGUAAGUAAACAAAUAACAGUGUACUAGUAGUAUACUUUUAAGUGUACUAUUUUAAUACUCCUUGGGACUAAAUUGGCCCACUUUCUAGUAUAUAAAAGUAUACCUCUAAGUAUACUUUAAGUAUAACAGUAGUAAACAGUACUUUUCAGUUUGUACUGCAAGUAUACUAAAAGUGAACUUAUAGGCAUACCGAUAGUUUACUAAUUAAAUACUUUUUAUGCAUUUUAGUACACUUUGAAGUAUAGUUUCAGUAAACUACUACUUCAGUAGUUUUAUACUGCAAGUUUUCUCAUACUCACUUUUUUCUGAACUUUCAAUCAUACUUUAAGCAUACUACUAUGUCCCUAUUUAGGUAUUCAUUUGUAUAUAUUUUGUUUUAUGAAUACCUAACAUACAAAUCAUUAUAAAUAACUUAGUCCAAUAUGCAGGGAAUGUUGUCUUUGUUUAUAAAGCAUUUUACAAAACUAAGACAGAAAAUGGAUAUAAGUAGUUGAAAAGAAUCUAGGCCUCAAAACUAGAUACACAAUCCUCAAGAACGGUGGCAAUCAGCAAAUAUUAAAAAGAUGAGAUCUUUACAUCACAGUACAACAAAUAACUAACAAUAAUGACAAAACGACAACAAAAAAGUUUACAUGAAGUCAGCAAACAGCAAAACAAUAAUCCUAUAACAGUAACUGGAUAAUUUAUUUAUGCUGCAAUGCAUGCUGGAAACUUACAAAGCCUUAAAAUUUCAACAGCACAGACAACUGUGUUUAACAAGUUGGGACAACAUUUGGGGUAAUUUUGUUGGUCUGACAAGGGUUUUUAUAUAGUUUUAAGAAAAUAGCAUUUUUUUAGUAUUUGAGACUGUUACGUAAAAUGGAAAAUAUGUAUUUGCAUUUUUGACAGUGUGGAAGCAUCUGUUUUGGUUUCUUCUUCACUUGUGUUUUGGAAAUUCUGUACAGAAGAUGUGUAAUAGCAUCUCUCGUGUAUAAAAAUGACAACACUGAUUCUCAGAGCACAAGUAUAGCUCUGAUAGUAUAUUUGUAUAUUUAGUAUAAGUAUUGUAUAUUUAGACUUUUUCUAAGUAUAAGUCAAGUAUACUUAAAUGUAAUUUUAAGUAUAUUUCUGAUAAGUAUAUAAAGCACAUUUCUGAGAAGUACAUAAAAGGUAGACUGAAAGUAUACUUUCCUGUUUUUAGUUUAAAAGAAGUAUACUAAUAGCACACUUGAAUUAACUUCUUUUUCGUAAGGGCAUCCAUAAUUGAUACAUUUGAUUAGCCCCAAACAACACAGCAUUGCCAAUGGGUUAACAAAUUAAACCAGGCUAUUUCUAGAGAGUUUUGGUUCUUUUUAUAAAGAAGUAUGUUUGAAUGGAGAUCAUGUACUUCUGGCUGUCAAAUGUGAAACCUGAUAUUUGUGAGCAAGUGUUUUUAAAAAACUUACUAAAAUUUUGGCAGCCAGAUAUACAUAGUGGAAAAAGUACCUUCAGAGAGCCAUCAAUCUUUAUCACAAUUACAAUAUAUUGAAUUGCAAAAUUUACAAUUAAUUGAAUUGCAAAUAACUAAUUAAUCAAUAUAUUCAUAUAAAAAGACCUCUGAUUCUGGUAGCAAAGAAAAACAUUAAAUACAAACUGAAAUGGCUUGAUAAGUAUUCAACUCCAGAUGAAACUGGACAAAAUUCCUGGAACAAAGUCAAGGCUCCUGUGUUCAAUUGAGAUCUCCCUCCAAACUCGAAAACUGAGGCUGCAAUGACUGGAGAACUUCCUUGGAGGUCACUGACAGCUUUGAUGUAUGUCCAUGGUAUCUGGCUAUAGAAACGUGUGAGGAAAGAAGCAAAAAACAAAAAACAAACAAACAAAAAAAGCAUUCUAAGCAAUCUUUCCGCUCCCUUGUCUUGGAGGAAUUUUCUCGGGAUGCCUUCUUAGGAUCUUGUGAUGAGCACUGGCCUUUUUUUAAUGGCAUUACGGCAAAACUGAUGAGCACUGACUUAAUCUGCAAGAAGCAGGACCAAUGACAAUGAUGCACGCAGAUCCUCAACAGUUAGCUGAGGAAUAAUUGCUAAGGUAAAUGAGUAUACACCGAUGGUCUUCACCAACUUUCACCAAGGGGUUUAAGAAUACUUAUCAAACCAUAUUAGAUGUACAGUGCUUGAAGUGGGACGGUACUCACCGGUAUGCAGUACCGACAAUGCUAUUCUGUUCACAGUACCAGACAUUUUUCUGUCGUGCUCUGUACCCUCUUCUGUCCUGCUUGAGAAAUGCAGUUUCACUGUCUGGCACGUGGAUGUGCCAGAGACAUGCUGGGUCUUUCUCACACAAGUAUGAACACUUUGGGUCUCUUUUCACUUCAAGCACUGGAUGUAUCAAUAUGAAAAGAAUGAAAGCUUUCUGGAGGUAUUCUGUUCAAGCUGUAUACUUCUGUCUUUGUGGCCAAUAAUUCAAAUGGAACCACCUUUUAAACUACAAAUGAAUAAAAAGCUACAACAAACUGACUGAGUACAUUAUUAUUAAAAAAAAAAAAAAAAUCACAAUGCAUUUUCUCUGUGGAUUGGAACUGGACUUCAGUGGAAGCAGCAGUACCACAGCACAACCGGAAAAAGCGGUCCAAAGACGUGUCUACACGCAGGAAAAAGAUUGCGAUACAGUAAGUGUACAACACUAAAAAGGACAAUACUCCUGUAUGUUAACGUGUCAGUAGCCCAUGCUGUAAUGGAUUUGGGGUGGAUGAAGAUGGACUCAUGAUUAGAUCUUCGAAAUAAGGCCAUUAUUCAUUAUUUCAUGUGGAGUGGGAACCUUUGCAGAAAUCAUGAAUAUUGGAGAACUUCUAGCAACUUGCAAGCUACAUUGUGCCAGUAAAUACCUCUCAUUAUGCUUUAUAUUGGGACGCAUCCUCCUCAUCCCAAAUUGUCAGAUGGUGUCUGAUACAGUAGAUGAAGAAUUCCAAGUGGGAAGGACUAGAUUGCUUUCUGAUAAAGCCUUAAAUCAAGGAUAAGAUGGCACACCUGCAAGCACUUUGACCUCCACUAUGAUGCUUAAUGUUAUACAAUGUGUUGUGUGAAAUGGAAAGUAAGUGGAUAUAUCAGUGUCGUGUCCUCAAGUACAAUAAUGCAAAAAAAGCUGGUAGAAUGGAGGAAGAAAUCGCAGAAGAUGAUUUUUUUUUUGGAGGGAAGUUUUCUUACGUUAACAGAUCGAGAAUUGUUGUCAAUGAAAGGAUCACUAAUAGACAUGCUCUGUUAGAAAUAACCCGAAGAAACCUUCAUUUUGAUGCAAAUGCCUGAAAUGGUCACAGCAACGGCAUUUUCUUCAGGAUUUGUCUCAAAGGGAUGUUUUUAACCAGCUUACUUGGCAACGCUGCUCGGAUGGUUACAUGUAUGCAAAAGCUUCCAUCCAAAAAUAUUUGGGAUACUUCUCAUGUUUUGAAGAAAAUAAACUGCAGCCCUUUUGAAGUGCAUCAGUUAUGCACCUCAUAAUGCAGUUUCAUUGGAGAUAUGUUCUGCUUCUGUUUUCACGGAUUCCUAUUUCUACAUCAUUAACUUCAAAAACAUAAAAAGUGAACAUUGUGGCAGCAUGGGCUCUGAACAUGUUCUCUUCUACUCCUUCUGAAGAACAUGCAAAGGAGAAGACACGUCAAAAAGCACACCUGCCCAACCAUCCACAUUGCCUUCAGCGCUCCGUGUAUCAAACAAAAAAGACCAAACAAAGAAGACUGUUUCUAGGUAAGUAUAGUGUGCGAAUGUAUGCGCGGGUUAUUGUUUUUUUUGAAUCAAUAUAGAGAUUAUCAGUAAACAUCAAAACCUUGUCAGCAUCAGCAAAGGUGUGAAGACCUCUUCUGAAAAUACAGUUCCAGCUGGAAACUCUUCUGCCAAAAGGCUUAAAGUAAGUUUUUUUUUUUUUUCACAAAA